rnacentral:rRNA from 1 species
UACGGAGGGUUCAAGCGUUAUCCGGAAUUAUUGGGCGUAAAGGGCUCGUAGGCGGUUUGUCGCGUCGGGAGUGAAAUCCACUGGCUUAACUGGUGGCUUGCUUUCGAUACGGGCAGACUGGAGGUAUGCAGGGGAGAACGGAAUUCCUGGUGUAGCGGUGAAAUGCGCAGAUAUCAGGAGGAACACCGGUGGCGAAGGCGGUUCUCUGGGCAUGUCCUGACGCUGAGGAGCGAAAGUGUGGGGAGCGAACAGG